CUGGCUCUGGCUCUGCUGCUGGGACUGAGAGCCUGUGUCUGCUUUGUCUCUGGGCAGCUUGGCGGCAGAGGUGUGUGGACGUGUGGGGUGUGGGGCGGGCAGCGGUGCAGAGUGAGCGGAGGAGAAUGGGCCAUGGUUCCCUCAGUGUCUGCUGCCCAGUCCUGCCAGGGACGCUAGCUGGCCAGGGGGAGCAACACCGAGGAAGCUGGCAUCUUAAGAGAGCCGUGCCCUGGCAAUGUCCCUGGGACAUCGCAUGGUUACGCGGACUCACCCCCUGAGCGUCUUGGUCAGACACACCCUUCUGAUCAGGGGCACCUCGGGGGAGCCGUGCCCCCGGAACACCCUGUGGUAGAAGAAUCGACAUUUAUCUCCUUGUUGCCUGGGACCCCCUGGAAUCCGAGCACAGGCCCUCUCUGCCUGGGGGAGCCAGGCCAGCACUCGGAGAAGGCCGCGGCCACGUCUCCUGGGUUCUGCUCACUGCCUACAACUCUGCAGGGCUCCCUCUGCUACUUGCAGGACAAGGCUGAACUCUGGGGCUUCCCUUCUGGCUACUUUUGCUGCUUAAUGAACCCAUGUGCUUAUGUUCAAGGAUUUAAAGGGCACCGUGAGGUUAGCUUCCCUCUGUCUGGGGCUCCAGCUGGGACCAUCAGGAUGGCGCAGGCCUGGGAUCCCCCGAGGCCCGGCUCACUCCGCCA
rnacentral:lncRNA from 1 species